AUGGGAAGUUAAUUACUAAAUGUUAUAUAAAAUAGAAUAUUAGGAACUUGAAUAUAAUUUAGACUUGGUGGAGCACUAGAUAGUACUAUAUGGAACUCAUUUUCAUUUUAUACAAAGAAAACCCUAAACCAUCGAUACAGAGAGGGAAAGAAGGAAUAAAAGAAAGGGAAAAGAAAAAAGAAAGAAGAAGGGAAAACUUAGUGUCAUUGUCCUUCUCUACCAUCUCGGAGGCAAUACUAAAUUUACAGAGAGCAAAAAUGGGAAAGAAAAGGAAAAGAAAAAAAGGAGAAAGAAGAAGUAAAAACGGUAAAGUGUCCGAUUGAAACUUGGAGGAUUCGACAUAUAUCCCAUACCCAUGUCGUAUCGUAUCUGACACAGGUACUACUACUAUUUUGAAGAGUCUGAGCAUCAAAGUCUGUGAGUGUCAUUUUCCUAGGAUGUGUGCUCUGAUACCAAAUUGCUACGUACCUGAGCUGAGCUUUGUUGCCUUGAGUGUUUCUGCCAACUUCACCUCAGGAAACAACCCCUGAUCCACACCAAGGAUGAAACGAGAAUCAGCCAACAGAAUUAAGAAACGAGGAUUGAUUAACAAUUUAACAGCACAACGAGAUGAACCUUAAACAAUUGAACUCAGAUUUAUUAAUUUGUGCCAGAUAAAAUCAGGAUAGUUCCAAGGCUUUUGAGAGGCCUGGACUCUCCCAAUGACUCAACCAAAAGAAUGUGAAUGAAAAUCCCUUAACUCCCUCCAAUACAUUAAUUCCCUCCCCAUACACAGACUCUUUCCCAAAUUACCCCUAGUCUACUCAUUGACUGAAUACAAAUGACUCGUUUUUUCCAUAGUACCCCUAACUACUAACUAACUGGGACUGAAUAAGUUGCUGCAUUGUUUGCCUCCAUCCUCGCUGUGCCCUGCUCUUUCUUCUCUCAUAGGUGAGGUUGAUCGGGGGCCUAUCACUGUCACAGUCUACUACUACUGUAUCUUAGUUUGAGUUUCAUGAAAUUUGUAGAGGGCACUCCUAUACGCUUAAGUGCUUAACCUCUUCUCAAAAACUUAAAGGGCAUUUUGGAAUGCUCAACUGAAUGUUUUAUUCUCUGUUUUCCUCAAUUUAAUACUGAUGUUUCUUGCCAACUAUCAGUGUUGAUGACAUAAUGGUAAGUGGUUUCACGUACUGAGCUUUCAUCCCUAAAAUUGAUUCAGUUCAGAGAUCUUUAACAAUGAAUUAAUUACUUGCUUAGUCAAUAUUACUUGUCAACCCGAAGCCACCGUUUGUAUGUUGAGCUAGACUUCAAUUACUUUUGAACUUCUUCAUAUGACUUGCAACUACUUCCACAAUACACCGCAACUCUCUCUCUUGAUGAUGGGUCAAUACGCCAAAACACUUCUCCCUAUUUAUUUGGAUCAGCACUAGGUCUAAGUUCAUCUAAUUCAAGUAGCAUCUAUAUAUAUCCACACGGUGAUGAUUUAGCUGCUUUCAUUUUUUUAUGUGACUGAAUUAAUAGAAAAAUAAAAUACACAUGUAGCUUUCUUCACCAUUUCAACUUUGCUAACUCGCCCCAAGUAAAGGAACAGAAUAUCAUGUCUCUGAAACUUGCAGGUGGUGAUUGCUUUGUGGCUUUUGUCCAUCAUUGGUAGCCUGAUAUCUUUCUUCACUCUUUUAUACAUAGGAAUUGUCAUUUCUAUCACAGUUCCAGCUUUGUACAAUAAGUUUGAAGAUUGUGUGGAUCGAUAUGCUGGGUUGAUCCGUCAGAAGUUUUCGAAGCAUUAUAAAAUCGUGGAUGAAAGUGUCAUUAGUAGAUAGCCCAGGAAUCUGUCUAAGGACAAAGAUCCUUAGUUACAACAAAGUGCUGGAUUGAUGAGACAUAUCCUCUUUUCUUACUCAUUGUUUUCCAAUUUCCACAGGGUGAUGCCUACAUCAAUUUCAUCUUCUAAUCCUGGCCUCUUCUGAUUUCUUACUGGAAACAAUAAAUAAUUUCUCAUUUAUUUUA